rnacentral:ncRNA from 2 species
GGGUGCGCUGUUGCAUACGGCACUGCGCAGGUUAAAGCUCAAGCGUUGGUCGGGCCGCCAACG